AGGUGGCCUGUAGGAGGCAGUGUGUGGUCACUAAGGUGCCAUGUGGAUGUGCCAACAGGUCUCCGAGCCACCCUUCCUGAACCAGUACUUGGUGCUGGACACAGAAAGCCCCUUUCUGUAUUUUCUGGACAGCCUAGAGGAGGGGAACUUGCUCCGUUCAGUAAGCAGCUGGCCUGAGUUGCCCAUCUGAAAUGAGCAUGCAGCUGGGUGGUGGCCAAGGCCUGCCUGACACCCUGUUGGUGUGUCUAUCACACAUACACCUUGGUGGAUCAGGAAUGCACCAUAACCCACGACAACGCUCUAGGCACAAUAAAGCUGGGCCAGACCCGGUGUGGCCAGCAGAGCUGUGCCGCCUGCCUUGGAGCAGGUGGCUGGCUGGUCUAGAAGUGCUAUUGGGCCAGGUGGGGUCAGGACUUCAAAGUGGGGCUCACUCACUCCCAAAAGCAGGGGCAGCAGUCUUAUUAAAAAUGCUCACUUGAAAUUCACUUCCACGAGCUACCAGAAUGAUUACACAAAACCAGCCAGAGGCUCUCAGGUCCUAGGUCCCAUCACUGGCACCACCAUAAGCCAGAGCAGAGCUGUGCUUUGGUCAAAAAUAAUUGUGUGCUCUGGACUCUCAAGCAUGAAGUCCCGAGUUCGAUCCCCAGCAGCACAUGUGCCAGAGUGAUGUCUGGUUCUUUCUCCUCCUAUCUUUUUCAUAAAUAAAUAAAUUCUUAAAAAAAAAAAAAGAAAGAAAGAAAACAAAAACAA